rnacentral:lncRNA from 1 species
UGACAUUUUGGUAUCUUUCAUCUGACCAUCCAUAUCAAAUGUUCCCAUUCAAACAUUACCCAGCACCAUGGUUUAUGAUUAAAAGAAUUGGUCCUUAGGUCUAGUGGCACUUUGAAUCUUUCGUGCCGUACUACUGUAUCAAUAUCAAGAGGAUUUUAUGCAAAAUUGGGAUAGUCUGUGAUCAAAACUGAAUAAAGGACAAGCAGCCUGCCUUGUGAGUUUUGGAAAGGUUACUUCUUAACCAUCUUUUACCCCCUACCUAGAAACUCUAGCAAUAGUUACUUACUUGAAAAGCGGUACCCAGAUGCUUUAAGUAAACUCACGUUAACCAUUAUGAUUUUUAUCUUUAGGGUUUGUGUAAGUCUCUAAAUCAGCUUCCAGUUGUCUGUCAUCACCUUCACCCGCAUUUUAUUUGGUGUUUGUCUGAAUAAAGGAAAGAGGAAAGCAAAUCUGAUUUGUACUGUCUGUACUAGAUUUGGGGAUUUGUUGAUAAAUUUAUUUUGGGGUAACAUUAAAAAAAAAAGCCUUGUUCCUUAGGCUGAAG